GACGAACGCUGGCGGCGUGCUUAACACAUGCAAGUCGAACGGAAAGGCCCUGCUUUUGUGGGGUGCUCGAGUGGCGAACGGGUGAGUAACACGUGAGUAACCUGCCCUUGACUUUGGGAUAACUUCUGGAAACUGGGGCUAAUACCUGAUAGGAGCUCCUGCUGCAUGGUGGGGGUUGGAAAGUUUCGGCGGUUGGGGAUGGACUCGCGGCUUAUCAGCUUGUUGGUGGGGUAGUUGCUUACCAAGGCUUUGACGGGUAGCCGGAAUGAGAGGGUGACCGGCAAAAAUGGGACUGAGAUACGGACCAGACUGCAACGGGAGGCAGGAGGGGGGAAUAUUGCAAAAUGGGAGGAAGCGUGAUGAAGAAAAGGAGGGAGCGGGAUGACGGCCUUCGGGUUGUAAAAAGCUUUCGCCUGUGACGAAGAGUGAGUGACGGUAAUGGGUAAAGAAGCACCGGCUAACUACGUG
rnacentral:rRNA from 1 species